UCUGUUUUCUUCCUCUUCUCCCUCCUCUUCACCCUCUCGUUCCUUUCUUCUCUGCUCUCUCUAUGGAAAUUUUGCAAACUUGGGUUAGCUUUGCUUGUAUAAAUACAAGCUCUUUGAAGCAUAAAAAUGGUUUGUUUAUAGCCAUCAUCUUCAAGAACAAAACGUUCAUCGUUUCCAGGUGAUAGAGUGGAGUUGAUUUGGGUUCUUCAUCCAUUGCUGUGGAUGAACUAUAAUGAGAAAGAAGGAUUAAGAAACUGAGAGAGAAGAGAGGAUUAAUGUUUUACUGAGUAGCUAUAAG
rnacentral:lncRNA from 1 species